GAUGAACGCUGGCGGCGUGCUUAACACAUGCAAGUCGAACGAUGAAGCCCACUUGUGGGUGGAUUAGUGGCGAACGGGUGAGUAACACGUGAGUAACCUGCCCUUGACUCUGGGAUAAGCCUGGGAAACUGGGUCUAAUACCGGAUAUGACCUUCCAUCGCAUGGUGGUUGGUGGAAAGCUUUUGUGGUUUUGGAUGGACUCGCGGCCUAUCAGCUUGUUGGUGGGGUAAUGGCCUACCAAGGCGACGACGGGUAGCCGGCCUGAGAGGGUGACCGGCCACACUGGGACUGAGACACGGCCCAGACUCCUACGGGAGGCAGCAGUGGGGAAUAUUGCACAAUGGGCGCAAGCCUGAUGCAGCGACGCCGCGUGAGGGAUGACGGCCUUCGGGUUGUAAACCUCUUUCAGUAGGGAAGAAGCGAAAGUGACGGUACCUGCAGAAGAAGCGCCGGCUAACUACGUGCCAGCAGCCGCAGUAAAAC
rnacentral:rRNA from 1 species